rnacentral:tRNA from 1 species
GGCGUAGCUCAAUAGGCAGAGUAGCUGACUUGUAAUCAGCAGGUUGUAGGUUCGAUUCCUAUCGCC